ACCUGGCAUGGUGGCUCAUCCCUGUAAUCCCAGCUACUUGAGAGGUUGAGACAGGAGGAUCGCAAGUUCAAGGCCAACCUGGGCAAUUUAGUGAGAUUCUGUCUCAA
rnacentral:sRNA from 1 species